CGCGCGAGGUACCUAGCUACUUCCUCCAUGAUCCGUAUCUCUCUCUUCCAUCUCUCCAUAUCACUAUGUGUUUGUUUCUCGAGAAAGUAGAGAAAAAUGAGUUGAUUUUUUUUUUGGUUGGAUCUCAAUGUUAAGAGCUACUUUUACAUGUUGGAAAUGGAUUGAAACGAGAAUGCUGGUUUAUUUGUUAAAUUUCACUAUUUUUGCGGACUAAAGUUUGCAGUUAUGUUUAUAUUUUUGGUUUUAUUUCUUUCCUUUAAAACCUCGUUUGUUCAUCAUUUGCUUGAAGGAUGUUGCCAUAGAUGUGUUUCUUUUUAUCUGCGAACAUUUCUAUAUGCUUUAUUAUGUAAACUUCGAACGGAAAGCUAAAAUCAAGUGUUUUUUUUCUUUUUUUAAAUCUAGUGUUGUUUGAUUCUUGAUUUUGAAUGCCUGUAUCUUUAGUGUGUUACUAAUUGAUUUUUUUCCCCGGCAGUGAAGGAGGAUAAGAUGUCUCACAGGAAGUUUGAGCACCCAAGACACGGUUCUUUGGGAUUUCUCCCCAGGAAGCGUGCUGCCAGACACAGGGGAAAGGUGAAGGCAUUCCCAAAGGAUGACCCAAGCAAGCCUUGCAAGCUAACUGCCUUCUUGGGUUACAAGGCUGGAAUGACUCACAUUGUCAGAGAAGUUGAGAAACCUGGAUCAAAACUCCACAAGAAAGAGACAUGUGAAGCUGUUACCAUUGUUGAAACACCUCCUAUGGUGAUUGUUGGUGUUGUUGGGUAUGUGAAGACCCCUCGUGGUCUUCGUUGCCUGAACACAGUCUGGGCUCAACAUCUCAGUGAAGACAUUAAGAGGAGGUUCUACAAGAACUGGUGCAAAUCCAAGAAGAAGGCCUUCCUGAAGUACUCUAAGAAAUAUGAAACUGAUGAAGGGAAAAAGGAUAUCCAGGCACAGCUGGAGAAAUUGAAGAAGUAUGCUUGUGUCAUCCGUGUGUUGGCUCACACUCAGAUAAGGAAGAUGAAGGGUUUGAAACAGAAGAAAGCCCAUUUGAUGGAGAUCCAGGUUAAUGGAGGAUCAAUUGCUCAGAAGGUUGACUUCGCAUAUGGUUUCUUUGAGAAGCAGGUUCCAGUUGAUGCUGUUUUCCAG
rnacentral:misc_RNA from 1 species